rnacentral:rRNA from 1 species
UACGAAGGGGCUAGCGUUGUUCGGAAUCACUGGGCGUAAAGGGCGCGUAGGCGGCCGUUCAAGUCGGGGGUGAAAGCCUGUGGCUCAACCACAGAAUUGCCUCGAUACUGGACGGCUCGAGACCGGAAGAGGUCAGUGGAACUGCGAGUGUAGAGGUGAAAUUCGUAGAUAUUCGCAAGAACACCAGUGGCGAAGGCGGCUGACUGGUCCGGUUCUGACGCUGAGGCGCGAAAGCGUGGGGAGCAAACAGGG